GGGGGUUAGAGGGCAUAGAGAGGGGUGGGGGCAGGGGGGGCAGGGGGAGUAGAACCGCCACGACAUCACGUGUGAGAAAGGCAAGAAAACAUUACAGUGAUCCGUUUAAUACUCAUCGUACUGCAAUCAAAAAACACACAUUAUAACGCUCCCCCGAUUUAUUGUACAAGGGACAGACAACAUUUUUUUUUUUUUCGUCUUCUUCUUUAAAAG